ensembl:snRNA U2 U2 spliceosomal RNA
AUUGCUUCUCGGCCUUUUGGCUAAGAUCAAGUGUAGUAGCUGUUCUUAUCAGUGAUAAGGCGAGAAGCAAUGCAGGAUGGCGGCAUCAUCGGCCAACUUCC